CGUUACUCGCUUGAGCUUAGUGUUGUUUGUGGAUUUGCUCGCCUGUCUGUUCGCUUGAGUCAGGUCUGCAGCAGUGAAGUGAAAACAAGUUUUGCGCCCCAACUUCAACGCGUCCGCCUAGUUGGUAGGUGUUUUGGACUAUCGUCGUUGUUGCCUUUAUUAUUGUUGUUGUUCGCUGUUUGAACACAGCUCGGUUUACCUGCGCCAACUGACUGGCGCGCUCUGCGCUCGGAAUAUGUAAUUCGCUCGUUCGUUGCUAGUUCUCUUGCUGCUCUAAAUUCGCCAGUGCAUUCGCGUUUGUACAUUUUUUUUGGCUUUUUUUGUGUUGUUGCCGUUAUUGCUGCUAACUUGCAAUCUGAGCCUUUUCGGCACGGCUGCUGUUGUUGUUGCUGCUGACGCUGCUACAGCUGAGUUUUGUGUUUUGUUCAACAGUGCAGGCGCUUGUCUUCUAUAUAAUUACAAUAAAAUAUAUGUACAUACGUAUACUCGUAUAAAUAAAUUAAUAUAUAAAUAUAUAUGCAGUGCUCGGUUGUGAAGUUUAAUCAAAAUAAAUAUUCAAAUCUCGUAAAAUAAUUAACAUCUCUCCUGUCAUCCGUCGCGAAUGUCUGUUGUACAAAUAUACCUUCAUACAAAUGUGAAUGCAAUAGCAUAAGUAAAUAAUAUAAAUGAAUAAAAGAGUGUUUGUCAAAGUGUUCAAGUGUGCAAAAAACAACAA
rnacentral:lncRNA from 1 species